rnacentral:rRNA from 1 species
UAAGGAAUAUUGGUCAAUGCCCGGAAGGGUGAACCAGCCAUCCCGCGUGAAGGAUGAAGGGGCUCUGCCUUGUAAACUUCUUUUGAAUGGGACGAAAAAGCCUCACUUGUGAGGAACUGACGGUACCAUUAGAAUAAGCACCGGCUAACUCCGUGCCAGCAGCCGCGGUAAUACGGAGGGUGCGAGCGUUAUCCGGAAUCACUGGGUUUAAAGGGUGCGUAGGCGGCUGUAUAAGUCAGUGGUGAAAGGCUGUGGCUUAACCAUGGGAUUGCCAUUGAUACUGUACGGCUUGAAUUAGGAUGAGGUUGGCGGAAUGUGACAUGUAGCGGUGAAAUGCUUAGAUAUGUCAUGGAACAUCGAUUGCGAAGGCAGCUGACUGGACCUUAAUUGACGCUGAGGCACGAAAGCGUGGGGAGCGAACAGGAUUAGAUACCCUCGUAGUCCCUGAG